rnacentral:lncRNA from 1 species
GGAACUAGGAAUUGGUGGGCUUGUGACCAAGGGGUAACAGGUCCACCUUUUUAAAGUUUUUCUUUACAGUACUCAGUGACUUGCUUUUAUGUGUGUAUGUGUAUUUUUUAUUCCCACACUGAGUACAAGAAUUGAAUGAAUAGUGAGCUUGAAGAUUAUUUGUGGGUGCACUAUAGUUAGUAUAAAUAGCAGGUUUUCACGUGUCCUCCACCUUGAUUCAAUUCAGGGCAUACUUUUAACAGCUUCACAAAAGUGGAAAUGUGGGGAUCCUGGAAAUGAAGUAGUUUGAUGAGGGUUUUUAUAGGGGGUAAUUCUUAUGUAAGUACGCAUCCCGUGGGUAUGUCUAUAUGGUCAGCUCUCCAUUAUCUCCUGUACAUUCCCUUCACCUUUAUGAACAUUCAGUGUUAUUUAGCACUGCAGUGAGAGUGGACAGGCAGUUGGUGUUCAGAUGUGUCACACUUUUAGCUUUUUGGUACGAAGUUAGACCAAUUAUAGGUUGAAACAAUUGGGUAGAAUUACUUGGAGGACUGUUUUUUGGACUUGCUAUAAUUAUUCAUUAGUCCCACCUCUUUCCUCAUUGUCAUAGGUAACUGAGAAUUGAAUUGACUAUACAUAGCUCUAAGUAGGUAUUUAAGCAGCCCACAACUGGAUACAUCACUACCGUUUAUUAAAUUCACUACAGCAAGAGAAUAUGUCCUUUCUAAGUGCCCUAUUAUAAAGGAAAGAUGUGUAAAACCUAGUUAUAAAAGGCAAAACUCACAUACAUUGACAUCAGAAAUAAAUUACUUUAACCAGUUUUAGCACUGGAGAGCAUGAAAGUUGAUGUUUAGUAGCCAUGUGAAUUUCAGAUACCAUUAGUCCUUACCAUUGGACUAGGGCUUUUGUUUUGUAUUCAGAUUUUAAAGAUUUACACAGUGCAGCUGCUCUUCACAUGUAGAUCAGAUAUGAGAGUCAUACUGUGUGUACACAGAGUUCAGGGAUUAUCUUAGCAUACUACUUUAAAACCGUAAACAAUUAAAGUGUUUACCCAUCAGCCCCAACAUGGAAUUUCCCCAAGGCUGUUAUUGACCGGGUUGUGUGACUUCUCCUCUUAAAUCCUGCCUGUAAAUUUAGGAGUAGGAAGGCGAAACCCAGUAGGUGUUAGGUAAUAGGAAGGAUGCUAUGACCAGCCAAUUUCACUUAGGCCUGUUUUCUCUCUUUUGGAGCCCAAACUUCACCAGGGAAGAAACUUUGCCAUGUAGGAUGACGUUGUGGCUAAGCUAGCUUUCUGAUAGAUGUCCCCAGGACCAGUCAAACCAUCUGUAAGUUCACCGUGCCCUGCAGCCUUCUCCCAGAGGUUCCUUAUAAAUCAAAGGACAGCCCACAAGAAAGGGGAAUUACUGGUCUGAGUUCAGGAGAGUAAAUAAAGCAAGGCUUCUUUUUGCCUCAAACAGGUCACAGUGUCAUCACAAAAUGGGUGAUGGAAUCCCUGAAUUUCAUUUAUCAAAAGUCUUUUUUGUUUUUUAAUCUCUGGUUUGGGUCUGACCUGGCAUGCCUUAUUAUUUGGCCAAAUCUCUUUAUUACUUUUGAUUUCAAAGAAGGGGUUCAGGAAUUCUUCCUUCCUCAGCAAGAAGAAUGAGCUUGGUUUCUGGUCACACCCAUUGCCUCCUGCAGCAGAGACCUCUCUAGGUGGAGGCCUUGCAUGUGACCUUGAUGUUCUCAAGUGCAGUGAUUUUCCAUGUUAGCGGUCCCUCCUAGGAAUGCAGUGCACAGAGCCAGCACCCCUGCCUUCUUACCUUCUGCUUUUGACUUUUUCAUUGUUUUCUUUUUUCAUUGUUUUUUUUUUUCAUCCUUAUUUUUCAAGCUAUUGCCUUUAGAUUUUUGGAGUUGAUGUUUCCACUCACUAUCUGACCUUUCUUGAUAUGAAGAUUUCAGGAUACAGAUUUAAAAAAAAAAAAAAAAAAAAAAAAGGAGAGUCAAAAGUGUUCUAUCCCAAGAUUUCACCAAUCUGUCCUGAUAGUCCAGUUCAAGAAUGAUCAUUUGGUCACUAUAGCUAACCCAUGGGACAUGAGAUCUCUUUAGGCUUGGUCUUUCCUGUCAAAAUCCCACUCCUGGUCAGCAGCCCCUUUCCAGUCCUUGGCUCUUGUAUUUAGGAGAAACAGCUUUGGCUCUCUCAUGUCACACACAGCUGCUUUUUAAUGAAAGUACAGGCUCAUACAUGGUACUCUUGUUUAAUGUCUGUGUUAAAUGGUUUGGUGUUUGUUUGUUUUUUUCCAUAAUUUUUCUAAAGAAUUAAAGAACUCACUUCCCUGCUCCUCACGUGUUGGCUUGUCCUGAGCCACGGGUUUUGAUUCUUGCAAUGUAUGUGCCUUAUUUUAUGUUUCUCUUGUCGAUGAGAAGGACCAGUUGUUGUUGUUGUCCAGUCAGCACUCAGAGGCUGCAUGCCCAGACAGUGUCACCAGGAAGUGAACACAGGACUGUGGCAGUCUGCGGUGUUGGGUGACCCGAUUUCCUGUGUUGUUUGAAGCUAAUAGGAGGGUGUUCUCCUCUGACAAGUUACGCUUGUAUAUCCUGCAGAUGUGUAAAAUAAACUGUGUUCCUUUUCGCCACCAUUUUUUAGAUUUUUUAAAGAAGAAAAUGUGUAAUCCUUUUUAAAGAACAACACAAUGUAAAUACAUUCAAGUAUUGUAGACGUAGAGUUGGGAUGUGAUGGCCUCGGGCCUUCCUUGGAAAAGCCUGUGGCUGCUCAGUGCUCCUAAGCCAUGAGAAUGGCAGCCCAGAAACAUGAACUCUGCCUUGGCUUUCAGAACCACUUAGUCCUUUUAUAACAAAGAAAAAAAUAAAUAAAUAAUAAAAAUGUUUCUUACAGUGUCAAUAAAAAAAACUUUGUACUG